UACGGGAGGCAGCAGUGGGGAAUAUUGGACAAUGGGCGCAAAGCCUGAUCCAGCCAUGCCGCGUGUGUGAAGAAGGCCUUUUGGUUGUAAAGCACUUUAAGCGAGGAGGAAGGCUCUCUUAGUUAAUACCUAAGAUGAGUGGACGUUACUCGCAGAAUAAGCACCGGCUAACUCUGUGCCAGCAGCCGCGGUAAUACAGAGGGUGCGAGCGUUAAUCGGAUUUUUACUGGGCGUAAAGCGUGCGUAGGCGGCUUUUUUAAGUCGGAUGUGAAAUCCCCGAGCUUAAACUUGGGAAUUGCAUUCGAUACUGGGAAGCUAGAGUAUGGGAGAGGAUGGUAGAAUUCCAGGUGUAGCGGUGAAAUGCGUAGAGAUCUGGAGGAAUCCGAUGGCGAAGGCAGCCAUCUGGGCCUAAUACUGACGCUGAGGUACGAAAGCAUGGGGAGCAAACAGGGAAUUAAGGAAU
rnacentral:rRNA from 1 species